rnacentral:rRNA from 1 species
UGAGUAACCUGCCCUUAACUCUGGGAUAAGCCUGGGAAACUGGGUCUAAUACCGGAUAUGACUCCUCAUCGCAUGGGUGGGGGGUGGAAAGCUUUAUUGUGGUUUUGGAUGGACUCGCGGCCUAUCAGCUUGUUGGUGAGGUAAUGGCUCACCAAGACGACGACGGGUAGCCGGCCUGAGAGGGCGAUCGGCCACACUGGGACUGGAGACGACCGGCCCAGACCUCCGUACGGGAGCAG